GAUGAACGCUGGCGGCGUGCCUAAUACAUGCAAGUCGAGCGAACAGACGAGGUGCUUGUUCCUCUGUCGUUAGCGGCGGACGGGUGAGUAACACGUGGAUAACCUACCUUUAAGACUGGGAUAACUUCGGGAAACCGGAGCUAAUACCGGAUAAUAUAUUUAACCGCAUGUUUUAAUAGUGAAAGACGGUUUUGCUUUCCCUUAUAGUUGGAUCCCCUGCGCAUUAGCUAGUUGGUAAGUAAACGGUUUACCAAGGCGACGAUCCGUAGCCGACCUAGGAGGGUGAUCGGCAACACUGGAACGGAGACACGGUCAAGACUCCUACGGAAGGCAGCAGUAGGGAAUCUUCCGCAAUGGGCGAAAGCCGGACGAAGCAACGCCGCGUGGGUAAUGAAGGUCUUCGGAUCGUAAAACUCUGUGAUUGGGGAAGAACAAAUGUGUAAGUAACUAUGCACGUCUUAACGGUACCUAAUCAGAAAGCCACGGCUAACUACGUG
rnacentral:rRNA from 1 species